rnacentral:lncRNA from 1 species
GAGUUUGUUGGAGCUGAGUGCUUGGGAGAGGCACCGCUUCGGAAGGGGCAAGUGCUACUUUUAUGAUCUGUUGUGACGGUUAGGCGGAGAUCAAUGGCUUUUAAUCUCAGCGCUGUCUCAGAGUAGAGUGCCUGGUUGCUUGCUUGCGGGUUACCAAUAGUUCAGAAAUAAGUUCAGCUGGGCUGAGCGUGCCAGAAGACUCUGCGCGCGCUGUGUUGCCUAGGUUCCAGGGAACCGCUUUAACCGCAGCCUGGAUGUGAGCAGCCUGGCUGGACCCUGUGAUCCUGCUGUGGUGAUACCUCCUCUUUGUUUCUAGAACAGCUACGGGGUCUGUCAACUUAAAAGCUCUUUGUCAUAUACCAUCUUGUGGGAGUUAGCGUGUACUACCCCUUUGAUGGUCUUGUAAUCAACACGUUGAAAUUUUUGUAUACCAGGGAGGCAAACUACAACCCGCCACAGGUCUAGUGCUAUCUAGUUAACUAGACCAUCAGAUUAGGACCUCAGUGUUCACCUUCAAGAGUAGCAGAGGGCCAGCCCUUAAAAUGAAAAUGAUUGUAAAGCCCUUUAGGAAGGGCAUUACAUGUGCUGCCAGAUUCACUGACAGUUUUUAAUUAAGGGGCUUUGGAUUACAGAGGUUAAACAUUACAAAGGUAAAAAAUGUAGUAGGCCUAUAAACUCGAGGCGAGAGCAGGCUACAUGAGGAGACCUUGACGUUUCUUUCCCCUAAAAAUUAAAGAAAAAAAAGAAAAAAGAGUAAAUGAGCAUACUAGGCAUUUGGUUAACACAUGAUAUUGGGUUGUGUCUACCAUACUGUCUGGUAAACCCUAGCAGUGUAUUAGCUGUUAAAUAGCCUCACAACAGCUCAAAUAUGUACUCCAAAAAUUAAGAAAGGCUUGGAAAUAACUUUAGCUCUUGAUUUUUUUAUUAUUAAUUUACUAAUAUUAAAAUACCCUGACACUAUUGAAAUGGUAGAAGGUCAGAACUAUUACCAUAGUGAGCUGUCAGCUCCAGGUUCUGACACAACAAAGAGUAGAGUUUAGAACAGUAGGCAAAGGGGGUGGUCAUUGGAUGGAAGAUUACUAAGAAAUGACAUCACGUCAAAGGUAACAGACAUUCUUGCUGAAAAGAAGCAGAUUCUUGGUGAGAGAAGAUGAGAAUGACCAGAUACCAAGAGUGGGGAUUAAUUUCAUAUCAACUUAGACGAUUCCUCCUAACACUGGACUUAGAUAGGUCCAAGGCAGAGGCCAAAAGAUGACAGGUACUGUGAAAAGUCAUAAAAGGAACCUAACUAAAUCUUGGUCAAGCAGUCAGUAACUCACCAUGCCUUCUCCCUUUGUUUCUAAUGUUUAAUAAUGUAAUUCCUUAAGUUAGAUAAUAUACCCAGAUUUUCUUCCUAUGUUAGAAAUUUCCAUGCAACUGUCAAUUCCUCCUCUCCUUCCCUUGUCAGUAAUUUUACCUCUAAUCAGAAAUAAAGCUUAAUGGAUCUUCCUUUA